rnacentral:rRNA from 1 species
CCUACGGGUGGCAGCAGUCGAGAAUCAUUCACAAUGGGGGAAACCCUGAUGGUGCGACGCCGCGUGGGGGAAUGAAGGUCUUCGGAUUGUAAACCCCUGUCAUGUGGGAGCAAAUUAAAAAGAUAGUACCACAAGAGGAAGAGACGGCUAACUCUGUGCCAGCAGCCGCGGUAAUACAGAGGUCUCAAGCGUUGUUCGGAAUCACUGGGCGUAAAGCGUGCGUAGGCUGUUUCGUAAGUCGUGUGUGAAAGGCGCGGGCUCAACCCGCGGACGGCACAUGAUACUGCGAGACUAGAGUAAUGGAGGGGGAACCGGAAUUCUCGGUGUAGCAGUGAAAUGCGUAGAUAUCGAGAGGAACACUCGUGGCGAAGGCGGGUUCCUGGACAUUAACUGACGCUGAGGCACGAAGGCCAGGGGAGCGAAAGGGAUUAGAUACCCUUGUAGUC